AUAAAUGUAAAUAUACAUUGAACGUCAUGCCAUCACAUACUUUUGAAAUAAGUUAAAACCUUCUUUUUUUUUUUUCCACUGUGAACUGAUAUCAUAUUAAACAGAAGUUGAUACAAAAACAAAAAAGCCCAGACAAGAAGGCAUAAAAACCCAACAUCAUGCACCUAAAGAUUUAAGGCCCAUCAACAGCCCAAAACCUAAACACAUCAGAAGAAGAGUCGACAACAACGUGUUAACCGUACGAAGAGGAAAGCACGUGUUGGGACAGCCUUCACCAUCUUCACCGACUAAGAUUCGUCGCCGGAAACCUACCGGAGAUAGAAUCACGAUCACAAGCCCUCCAAUUUCAGGGCAUACACCGAUGGAGAGCCUCAAUCGACCAGAUUCGAGAUCUCAUCCAUCCCCACUCCACACACACACACACAAAGGUUUACCCAGAUCAGAAUCAUCACCCAGCGGAGAGCUUCAUCGAGCUAUUCGAGAGAUUGUCCGCCUCACCACAACACCAAUCACACACCAAACAUACUCUUCCCGGAUUCUCAUGAACACCGAAGAAACACACCUCCAACGACUGUAUUGGACGUUUUGGGCUUCAUCAGCUACAACACAUCCCCUGUUUGGAGAGCAUCAAUCGAUUAAACACCGAGAUCUCAUCCAAACCCAUAACCGUGGACCAAAGCCGAAUAAUUUCGCAUAGAAGAUCGCAAAAAAACUGGAGUCAAAGCCAGCUACACGGCGUCAAAGAGACCACCGUGCACCAGAUUGAAA
rnacentral:lncRNA from 1 species